rnacentral:rRNA from 1 species
GUCUACGGCCAUACCACCCUGAACGCGCCCGAUCUUGUCUGAUCUCGGAAGCUAAGCAGGGUUGGGCCUGGUUAGUACUUGAAUGGGAGGUAAAAUUAAAUCCAAAACUUAUUAAACCUAAAAUUGAGGACU